UACAUGUGGGGCAAGCGUUGUUCGGAAUUACUGGGCAUAAAGCGUGCGCAGGCGGUUGUGCAAGACAGAUGUGAAAUCCCCGGGCUCAACCUGGGAAUUGCAUUUGUGACUGCACGGCUAGAGUGUGUCAGAGGGGGGUAGAAUUCCACGUGUAGCAGUGAAAUGCGUAGAGAUGUGGAGGAAUACCGAUGGCGAAGGCAGCCCCCUGGGAUAACACUGACGCUCAUGCACGAAAGCGUGGGGAGCAAACAGG
rnacentral:rRNA from 1 species